AGACAAAUAAACAUGGAGUCCAUCUUCCACGAGAAACAAGAAGGAUCACUUUGUGCUCAGCACUGCCUGAAUAAUCUGUUGCAAGGAGAAUACUUCAGCCCUGUGGAAUUAUCCUCAAUUGCCCACCAGCUGGAUGAAGAAGAAAGGAUGAGGAUGGCGGAAGGAGGGGUAACCAGUGAAGACGAUUGCUUGUUUUUACAGCAGCCUGCUAGAAAUAUGGAUGAUAGUGGCUUUUUCUCUAUUCAAGUCAUAAGCAAUGCCUUGAAACUUUGGGGUUUGGAACGGAUCCUGUUCAACAGUCCAGAGAAUCAGAGGCUCAGGAUUGAUCCCAUAAAUGAAAAAUCAUUUAUAUGCAAUUAUAAAGAACACUGUUUUACAGUUAGAAAAUUAGGAAAACAGUGGUUUAACUUGAACUGUCUCUUGAUGGCUCCAGAAUUAAUAUUAGAUACACACUUGGCACUUGUCUUGGCUCAAUGACAACAGGAAAGUUAUUCUAUAUUUGGCAUUAAAGGUGAUCUGCCAGAUUGUGAAGCUGACCGACUUCUCCAGACCAUCAGGGUCCAACAGAUGCAUCGAUCAAAGCUCAUUGGAGAAGAAUUAGCACAACUGAAAGGGCAGAGAGUCCUUAAAACAGACCUGGAACAAGUCUCAGAAGUGAUGGGUCUGGAACGUUAGAUGAAUACGAGGAGGACUUGCAGAGGGCCCUGGCUCUCGCUCGCCAGGAGAUUGGCAUGGAAGAUGAAGAAGCGGACCUCCCCAGGGCCAUUCAGCUCAGGAUGCAAGUAGAUCCAGAAAUAUAUCUCAAGACGUUCCACAGACAUCAGGGCCACAGCUUACAUUUGAAGAGCUGCGGAAGAGAAGAGAAGCCUACUUUGAACAGCAGCAGCAGCGGCGGCGGCAGCGGCAGGCAGAUCCACCAGGACAGGCUUCACAGCCACGUGAAAGGCCGACCACAAGCUCGGGGGCACUUGGAAAUGAGCUACGUGAUUCCACGAGUGAAGAAGACAUGCUUCAGACAGCUGUGACUAUGUCUUUAGAAACUGUUUCAAAUAAUUUGAAAACAGAAGUGGAAAAAUAA